UAGGGAAUCUUCCACAAUGGACGCAAGUCUGAUGGAGCAACGCCGCGUGAGUGAAGAAGGCUUUCGGGUCGUAAAACUCUGUUAUUGAAGAAGAACGUGCGUGACAGUAACUGGUCAUGCAGUGACGGUAUUCAAUCAGAAAGUCACGGCUAACUACGUGCCAGCAGCCGCGGUAAUACGUAGGUGGCAAGCGUUGUCCGGAUUUAUUGGGCGUAAAGCGAGUGCAGGCGGUCUUUUAAGUCUGAUGUGAAAGCCUUCGGCUUAACCGAAGAAGGGCAUCGGAAACUGGGA
rnacentral:rRNA from 1 species